GGAAUACAAUAUGUUAGAGAGAAGUCUUAAAUUCAGUUAGUUUUCAGUUAGUUGUAAAAACUGUUUGUGGUUACUAUUAACUGUCUCUUCUUAGUUAGUUAGUAUGCUGUGAUUCUGUUAGUUACUAACAGAAUCAGUUAGUAAUUGUUAGAGUCAGAGUUAGGCCUCAUUGUGAACUCUGCUCUACAUAUAUAUAGACCUUUGUUGUAAUCAUCAAAUCAAUAAUGAAAACACAAUUAUGAUUUCUAUCAGUUCUCUAUCUCUCUCUAAAUGUAACAUGGUAUCAGAGCCAUCUUCUGCUUCUUUCCGGUGGGUGCCGCCAGCCCUCGCUUUGUUGAAUAUGAGAAGAGAGGGAUCACACUUGGAUUGUUGAAAACCAAAGGAGAUGAGAGUAUUUGUCAAACUCUCAUACCAAGCCCUUGGGGCUUGUUUUAAACCAUAUAUUGCCUUGUGAAGUUUGCAUACAAGAGUGGAUUCACCCUGAAUAAAGCCUUGAGGCUGUUGCAUGUAGACAUCUUCAUGGAGUUGCCCAUUAAGAAAGGCAUUGUUGACAUCAAGUUGAAUAAGGGGCCAUUUGGAAGUAAGAGCAAUGGUGAGGACAGUUCUCACUGUGAUUGGUUUCACCACUGGAGAGUAGGUGUCACUGUAAUCUUGACAUAUUUCUGGUUGAAUCCUUUGGCGACCAAGCGUGCUUUAUAUUUGUUUAUGGUACCAUCCGGGUUCUCUUUGAUCCUGAAAAUCCAUUUGCACCCGAUGGCUCUUUUAUGAGGAGGAAGAGGUACCAAGCUCCAUGUUUUGUUAGCUUGAAGAGCUUGAUACUCUUGUUGCAUAGCUUCAGUCCAGUGGAUAGAUGAAAGAGCUUGCUGCACAGUGGUUGGUUCAGUGGUUGUUAGAUUGAUUGUGGGAAAGAGAGGAGGUUUGAGAUGGCCAGUUUUGGAUCUUGUAAGCAUAUGAUGGGUGUUGGUUGUAGGUGAAGGAGAGGAAGUGGGAGUGGAGUUAGGAUCAAUGGUGGAGGAAGCUGUGGAGGGUAAGGUUAGAGUUGGAGAGGCAGAGGCACUGAUGUAUGGUGAAGAUGUGUGGCUGGGAAAGGUAGUUGGUGUGUGAGGAGUAGGUUGGUUGUUUGGUGUGAGAUUAUUUGGUGUGUGAGGAGUUUGUUGGGGAAUAUGGUUGACAACUCCAAGGGGAGCUGCUGAUGUGACUGUUUGGUUAGGAGAGCAGGUGGUAGGUGGAGUGAUUUGAUAAGGGAAGUGCUUCUCAUUAAACAACACAUCCUUGGAGAUAUAGAUGCGGCCAGACUUAUUGUCAAGACACUUGUAACCCCUGUGAGAAGUAGAAUAGCCCAGAAAGAUGCAUUCUUUUGACCUGUAUUGGAACUUAGGAUUGUUGUAAGGGGUUAGAAGAGGAUAACAAGCACAACCAAAGGCUCUGAGGAAGUUAUAAUCAGGAACAUUAUUGAAUAGAACUUUGAGGGGAAUGCAAUGAUUAUGAGAUGCAGGGAGUCUGUUUAUGAUGUACACAGCAGUAUGAAAAGCAUGGUCCCAGUAAUGAUAAGGGAGAGAGGAGUGGGAGAGUAAGGAGAGGCCCAUCUCCACAAUGUGCCUAUGCUUUCUUUCGACCACACCAUUAUGAUGGUGGGUGUGAGGGCAGAUAAUGCGAUGAAUGAUUCCUAACUGACUGAGAUAUGAUGUAAAACUUCUGAAUUCACUCCCCCCCCCCAGUCAGAUUGAAUGGCUUUUAUCUUAGUGUUAAGUUGUAAUUCAGCUAAUGCUUUGAAUUGUUUGAAAAUAGUAAGUGUUUCUGAUUUGUCAUGAAGAAAAUAGACCCAAAUAUAUUUGCUAAAAGCAUCAAUGAAUGAGAUGUAGUAUUUGUAGCCCAUAGAGGACUGCAUGGGGGCUGGACCCCAUAAAUCACAAUAAAUUAACUCAAGAGGAGAAUUAUAAGUGCUUUGAGACAGUUGGGAAGGCAAUCUGUGUGACUUGCCCAGACAACAAGAGAUACAAAAAUCAGUUUUGUUUUUAUUGAAUGUAGGCAUAUUACAUGAUUUCAAGACAUUAUUCAUAGUGUCUAGAUUUGUAUGGCCUAGCCUAUGAUGCCAUUGAAAAUACAAGUGAUUGUGACUAGUUACAAUAGAAUGAACAGAAUGGUGUCUAGAAGAAAGACUAGAAGUAAUUGAUGACUGAGAGUGAAUAGGAUAAAGUCCAGCCUUGUCCAAUUUUCCUUGAAGCAAGAUUUGAUCAUUGUCCUGAGAUUUCAUGACAAAGUGAGAUGGAUGAAAUUGAAUGUAUGCAUUAUUAUCAGAUGCAAAUUUUGAAACACUGGUCAGAUUUUUGUUGAUGCUAGGAACAUGCAAAACAUUAUUUAAAUGCAAUGUAUAAUGAGGAUGAGAAGGUGAAGGAAAAUCAUAAGAGGAAAUUCCAGUGACACGCAAACCUUGACCAUUGCCAAGGAAUAUGUGCUCAAGGUGAGAAGGAGGAGGAGCAGAAUCAUCAAAUCAAUAAUGAAAACACAAUUAUGAUUUCUAUCAGUUCUCUAUCUCUCUCUAAAUGUAACACAAUAACAAGAGGUGAACAAAAAAAUCCAAUAAAGAUAUUGAUAAAUGCAAGAUUAAUAUAUUCACACAAUUUAUGUAGCCAAGACUCUGAUCUUAAUUACCAAACUAAUUUGGUCCAGGCAAUUUCAAGAGCAUGAGUUGUAUGCAUGUUUAUACUAGAUCAGUAAUAAAAGUGAUGGUUCAAGUAUAUCAUACCAUUUUCCAUUAAACAGAAUGCACAGUUUCACAUUCAUGUAUAGGGUGACAUCAAUAUACACAUAAAAACUAUUUUAUUUGCAUUCAUAAAAAUAGACGUAUGACUCUAGUUUGAGAGGCAUUUUCACAAACAAUUCCAAACCAAACAUUUCCAACAAAAAUUAUAAUAUCAAAUGUUAAACAAAGACACAAGAACAGAACAAUGUGAAAAUCAUAGAUGUGACUAUCAUUUAUCCUUUGAAUCUGGAGCAAAAAUUAGAGAUUUAGUGGUUGUAUUAUCAUUUAAUAAAUGAUAAUACAACCACAAAAUCCCUAAUUUGCAACAAGGAUUCGGUAUCACCACCAAUCAAAGAUAAAUGUGAUUUUUUCUCAAAACUCAUACAAUACAAAUUGCUGAAUCGCACACAACAGAAGAUAACGUGAUUUUUCUCAAUGUGAUUCGAUGUGUAAGGGAAUACGAAAGAGAAGAAGAAUUUUAACAAUUCAGGAAAGAGGAACUUUUAAUGAUUCACCAGGCAGUAAAAAAUAAAAGAAGAUUCAGAUUAACAAGAAAUCAAUUCGUAAAGCUUACUCACAUUCGAAGAGCAAGAGAGAAAAAGCAAAUCAGGGGAAAAGUUUGAGAGAGAGACUAAAAACACUAACCUGUUCUUGAUGGAAGAGAAAUCGAUUUGGCGAUAUGGUAAAUUGAAGCUGCUUGAAAGGGAAUAGGUUUGAACCUCCUUAAAAUCUCGAGAGUGAAAAGAACAAUUUGCAGAUCAUAGCCAUGUUCGCGAAGCUACAGAUUCAGGCUUCACUAACCCUGUCGUAUGUCUCUGACCCAACUAUCUUGAGUGCCUUGGACAAAAUUCACAUGAAUUAUUCAUUGAAAAUAAAUGAAAUGUGAUGAUACCUUUUAAUCUGUUUAUACUUAUUUCUUCUCUUGGAGAGAAAAGAAUACUUACCAAAACUAACUAAAAGGCAUCUAAUAUUAAUGGAGGUUACUUGUUGCUUCAUCAAUCACUAAUUCACUAUCAUGUUAGAAUCACACUCCAAUUGGUGUCUUCAAAUACAACAUGUAUGUAUGCCUUUGCAGAAAAAAAGUAACUAUCAGUAGAAGAGUGGAAUGCAGGCCAUUCUGGCAGAUUUAAUGGAAUGUAGCUAAAGAAUACCUUUGUUCCAACUAUAAUCUUUUUUAAUCAAACACUUCCUAUUUGGUCUGAAAGGUCCAUUUUCUUAGAAUGCACCCACUCCUAGAAAAGAACAACUAGGUCCUGAAUAAAGCAGGAAUUAGUCAAAAUAAAACAUGAUGUGAAUACUAUUGUUGCUAUUCUUAUUUAAUCCCAAGUCUUAAAAAAAAUUCAACUUUUGGAUCCAAAGAUUGCAGACCUCCAUUGAGCCACAAAACUAGAGGAUUUGAAGUUGGAUUUGUUUCUGACUCAACAAAAUUGUAAAAAAGAAACUCAUGUUUCUUGCCAUCCACUGUGACAUAUUUUGAUAACUACCAAAAGCCUAUGUAUGGGUUGGUCAGGAAGCCCAACAAUUUUAUCUGCAUUAGAGUGACAGAACACCUCAAAUUAUGUCAAGUAUCAGAUAUUUAUAUCUAUGGUAAGAUAAAUAACAAUUUUUAUGUUUAUCUACACAUUUGUUUUCCACAAAUUAAUAAGGCUUUUUGAUCAAGCCACUUCUAUCACACACAUAACUAAGCUUCAUAUAAUUCUGUCACCACAAUUAAAUAGAACAACUAAUAUUGUGACGAAGGGUUCAACAAAACAGAGUAAAAACUACAGUGCAACUAAUAAAUUAGCACUUCAAAAUUCAGGGUAGAUUGUUUAAAAAAAAAAAAAACAUAAACCAUAUAUUCAAACAAACCUUACUAUACAUGCACAGUUAUGUAUGUUGUCACAAACCAAACAUAAAUUGCUUAUAUGGAUAACAUAAAUAAAUCAUUCCAGAGUUUUAAAAAAAUAACAACAAAAACACAAACAACAAAACAGAGUAAAAGACUAAAUGUGAGAAAACGAAAACAACAGAACAGGAAUCACACUCAUAAUUGACGAGAAAUCACGGUUUUAAUUAGAGAAUGAGAAGCACACCAUAAGUAGGGCUCGGUAUUUGCAAUAGAAGGAGAAUCACUCACAAUUGAAGGUAAAUAAUAACUUUUCAAAGGUAAUUACUGGCAAUUACAACAUUGCCAUUAUAAGAUUGUUGUUAAAAGCUCAUUUUGCCCUAGUCAUUAUGCUUUUGAAACAGAAGUAGAAAUGCAAAGGAGUGACGAGUUUUGAAAGAAGAAAGGAACGAGAGUUUACGCUUCCUGAUAUGAAUCAGGGUACUGUAAUUGGAUUUUUUUUUUAUUUCUUUUGCAUUCCUAUUAAUUUGUUGUUAUGUUCUGGAUUGUUGCUGUAAUAAAUAAUUUAUUGUUCUCCUGAUUGUAAUUUAUGUCUUAGUCAAUUUGAUCAUAUACUUGGGAGUUUCAUGGUCGUUUAAUCGUGACUGGCCUAUUUUGGUUGAAUAUCAUUGAGUUUGAGAUCUCGAUUGGGUUUGGGUAUCUAUUAUUGUUGUGAUUCAACAAUAUAUCAUUUGUGUGGGCCUAUUUUGCAGCAUUACAUGAGCAGUAAAAAAGGUGAAAAACCUAAAAAAAUGUGUUAACAUGUCUGAGUUGCGAUGAAUACGUAUAAAUUACACUGACGGUGCUUAGAUGUAUCAAUUAACGUCAAUGUGUAAUGAAAUAAAGAUCUUUUUCAGUUUUUAUUUUUUAACAUCUUAGAUAUUGAAUUUUUUUUAAUUAUAUAAAAUAUUAAGAGUAGCCGGCAAGAAAAAUUAUAAGCCGUUGGAUUAGAAUUUGUUGUAUGCGUUGUCAUGAUUAAAUUCCAGAUUUCAAUAUCGAAAUUUUUUAAUAGAAAAUAUUAAAAGUGCACUCGGUAUAAAAAAUUCAGGCCAUUAGAUAAGAAUGUGCAAUUGUUUUGUAAGUUGCACAUGAUUCAGUAAAUCGAAUCUGUGAUUAGCAACAGGUAAAGUGAACAUUAUAUAACUAAAUCUUUAUUAUCUUUAUCUUUUCUAUGCAAAAUUAUUGCUUAAAAUUAUUUUUUUAAAAAAAUAUUAUUGAAUUUUAUUUAUUAUAUUUUCAUUUAAGUGAAUUAUUCAAUUAUUUAUUUUACUUUGAAAUUUUUUAUUUACUUUUAUAAAAGGAAUAUGUAAAUUUACUGAAAACAAUAUUAUAUAUACAAUUUACAGUAUGUUCACGGGACGAAUAAUUUACCUAAAUCAUAUUAAUAUCUAAAUUGUUAUGAAGUUAUAUUUUUUAAUUCAUUGUUAAAAUAAUUUUAAUAUAAAUGUUUCUUUUUCUUGCUUUCUCUUAUUCAACUUAACUAAAAUAUAUAUGUAAAUUGAUUAGUAUAAAAAAUACAUGCAUAAAUUUAUUACAAGAGGAUAAACAAUUUGCAGGAAACUACAUUAGCGUAUGAAUUAUUAUACUUGAAAUCAUAUUAAUAUUUAAAUUAUUAAGGUAGAAAUAUAAUUUUUAAUUUAUUAUCAUUAUAAAUUUUAUAAUAUAUUUUUUAUAUUCACUUCAUAUGGCUUUAAUUUAUUUAUUAAAUGUUUUAUCUUUUCUAUCAUAUAAAGUAUUUUUUGGUUUGAACCUAAUAUCCCAGCCAAAAGUCAUGACUAAUCCCUGGAGGCAUUAAGAUUUAUAUAAGGGAUUGAUAUUUUUCAAUAAAUAUAUAUAUAUAUAUAUAUAUAUAUAUAUAUAUAUAUAUAUAUAUAUAUAUAUAUAUAUAUAUAUAUAUAUAUGAAUCAAUGAUCAAAUACAUGAUUAUAUGUUUAAAAAAUACGAUUAUUUAUCAACUAUGACACAUCAUGGUAGUUAUCAUAUAAAGUAUGAAUAUAUAAUAAACGGGGAUGAAAAUUUUUCUUAAAAGAAUGACAAAACACACUUAAUUCAUAGGAUGAACAAAUUACCUUUUUCAGGAUGAAUAAUUUACCUUAAAUCACAUUAACUUUUUUUUUUUGUAAAGACACUUAUUAAUAAUUAAUUAAUAAGUAUUAUUUAGUAUAUUUUAUAAAAGUUUUGUGCAUUGCACAAGUACUAACACUAGUUUUAUACAUUCAACACUUCAUAAUUUCAUAAUAAAGAAUAAGUACUAAUCCGACUUAUUGUGGUUAUAGAUAACUUAAUCGACAUAAUUUCUUUCAUGUACCACAAGUUAGAUUUAUCCUUAAUUGAACAUAAUUAAGAUCACAUAAUGGUCCAAAAAAAUGUUUUUAUUUAAGACAUUACAUAUUUACAUUUCUCUAAUACAAACACGCAUGCAAACGUAGAGAACAUGUAGUUAGAAACAUAUAAAAAAUGAGCUCAAAGUGUUAACAAUCCAAAACAAAAGUAAGCAUUAAAUUCAACAGUUCUUAAUAAUAAUAAUGUCCAUAUUUUUAACAUGCUCAAUAAAUUCCUAGGGCAGUAAUCAUUUUGUCAAAGGCUCAACUAUCAUGAUAUUUGUGCUAAUAUGUUCUAGUGGCACUUUGUUUUUGAACUUCUUCUUUGAUGGUAAAGUACUUCAAUUUCAUAUGUUUAUCAUCUUUAGAGUACUUGUCAUUCUUAAAAAAAAAAUACUGUUACAAAUUUAUUACAAUACAAUUUUCAACAUUUCCAAGCUCUGAUAUCAAGUUAUGCAACCAAUUUGUUUGAAUUGUAGCCUCAAAUCAUGCUACAAAUUCAAUUUUCAUAAUGGUCAAAAGUUCCAUAUGUAAACAUGUGACACUUUAUCCCUGUAAGUAUCUCAUAAUUUUCUUUUUAGCUUUCCAAUGUUCUAUUCCUAAAUUACUUUGAUAUCUUCUUAAUAUUCCAGCUGUAAAACUUAUGUUUGGUUGAGUAUGUAACUGAACAUACAUAAUACUUUCAACAACUAAUGCAUACAAAAUUGUUUCUAAUUGUUUUUGUUUCAAAUUAUUCUUAGGACAUUAUACGAGAUUAAACUUGUCUCCUUUUUAAAUUGGAACAGAUGACGCUAAGCAUUGUUCCAUGUUGAAUCUCUCUAAUGCUUUAUUGAUAUAUGCUUUGUGAGACAAGUGUAAUAGUUCAUGUGAUCCAUUUUAGAAUAUUUUUAUUCCUAUCACAUAAAUUGUCUCACUCUUAUUCUUCAUUUAAACUAACUAUAGAAGAAAACUUCUUAGUCUCAUGAAGAAGACCAAAAUCAUUAGUUGCAAGCAAGAUAUCAUUUUUUUUAUUUAACUAUUUAUGACUCAUUUUAAACUUUGAUUUUUUUACUAUUUUCUCCUAGUAUGUGACUUUUUAGGGAUGUAUUGGUCAUUUUACCAUCUUUUUUGUGCCAGUCCGGAUAAAAUAUUAAAAAUCUAAACUAGAUAAAACUUGCUGAUGUGAAUAAAAUAUAGAAUUAGGAAGACAAUAUAGUAAGCUAAAAGUAGGGGCAUUGCAAAAAUGACUUAUUAUUUCCUAACAAAAAUCUUCUAAACAUAGUAAAAAGGAAUUUUGAAAGUUUGUAAGAUUUGUCUGUUUUUAUUUUGGGUUAAUUUAUCAUUCCGGUAAAGAUCAAAGGGAAACUGUAUUUUGUGUUGACUUUUAAUUUUAAAGGGUAUUUUUUUCGAUAAAUUCUAUGAUGUUCUAGCACUAUUAUGUUUCUAGCUCUGCUUCGAUAUCAAACCUCAUAAAAUGAACAUUUUAGUAAUAUUUUAUACAAAGUGUCAAAAUUACUUCUGAAUUUCUAAAUAAUCUUGAUGAAUUAUCAUUAAUCAUACUUAAAUAAUCUAAUAGACUGGGUUGUCUAUCGACGGGAGUUGGUAUAAAUCUACACUGUUUGUUAGCAAUAUAAUCUAGUUUUUGGUUGAAUUAACAACUUCAACCAUAAAUUAAUAAUCAAUUCAUUUGAUUAAGUCUUAUAAUUUCUUAGUGUUUUCACUUAAUUAAUGAUGCAAACAAGUUAUUUAAUAAAAAUAGUAUAACUUAAGAUGUCACACUUUUCACAACAUAAUUUUAAUCUUCUAUUUUAUUAAACAAUAUCUCACUAUAAUUAUUUUAAUUUAAAAUAGUUAAAUCAUGAAAAAUUCCAUUUAUAAUUAGUAGUGAGUUUUAGCUUGUUUAAUUUAUGUAAUAAAUUAAAAGGAAUCUUAUUUAUUUCUUUAAAAUUUUGGUUUUCUAUAUUUUGUUACGUCCAAUGUUCUUAUUUUUGUUAGGGAGCUUUAUGUAACAUGAAAAGGAUCUUUGGAUCAGUUAGUAAUUUUUUAAAUUUUGCCAAGGUUUAACUAAACAAAGCCUGAUAGGUUAAAUUGUAAUUAUUAUAACCUACACGGGUUCACAUAAGUGAUAGUGAUUUGUAUAUCUUAACCAACAAAUAUAGGAUUCGAAUUCUAACUCUAACUGAGAAGGAAAUAUCUAUCUUGUGUGUGUUCUAAUUUUUGAACAAAGAUUAGUUAUUAUUUUUAAUUCGGGACUACUUCAUAUUAAUAUCAUGAUAGAAAAAAAUUACAAUUAUUAUAAACAUUGAAAGAGUUAAAUUGCAAUUUCUUUAAGAUGAUUUAAAAUUAUUGAUAAGAUUUUUACAUAAAUUUCCCCAACAAAAUUCAGCAGGCUACACACAUAAACCUUUAUUUCUUCUAACAAGUGACUGCUGCAUACAACAGCUGAUUCCAUGUAUCUGGCAGCCCUGCUACGCACCAAUGAGUGCAGUCCAUGCCUCUAAAGCCAUUGUAAGAACUAGGAUGUGCAUCUUUUCUCAACUGUGACAGAGUUGUAAUGUUAAGCAGAUGAACAGGUUUGGUUAUGUUCUUCAGCACAUCUUCCAAUACAAAUAAUGCUGCUGGCAAUCCACUAGGGUAAGUUGAUCCACUUAUUGGCUGUGUCUCCUUUGAACAGUUUCGUACUCCUGGCUCAUUCCACUCCAUGCCACUAAUUUAUAUACAAAAGUUGGGGUAAAAUUGAAUAUUAAAAUCAGAAGCAUGUUAAUGACACUUUUUAAAAGGUCUUUGCUUAUUAAGAAUAUUUCUAUUAGGCCUAAUAGUAAAUUUUACCAUUAAAUUUUUAUUAUUUUAUGAAUUUUAUUAUUAAAGUUUUUUUUUUUUAUUAUUCAAUUUUCAUAAUUUUACGAAUUUUACCAAUCUUUUAUCCCACAAAUUUUAUUAUUCAAAUUUUUAAUUUUUGUACAUUUUACUAUCACAUUGAUAGUAAAAUGAUGUAAAAAGUCAUUUUUUUAAAAAUUUUGUUACAUCAGUCGUAGUUAUAAUAAAUGUAAAAAGUUAUUUUUUUACUUCGGUUAUAAUUAAAACGAAUGUCAAAAGUUAAAAUCAUUUGUAUUUUACUAGUGAUAGUAAAAUACAUGAAAAAUGAAAAAUUUAAAUAAUAAAAUUUGAGAAAAUGAAACUUUGGUGGUAAAAUUUACCAAAUAAUAAAUGUUGAAGGGUAAAAUUUACAAUUAAGACAUUAGAGAGAUAACUAUUUUUGAAGCUUUGAAUUUACUAAUGAGAAUAAAAUGUGUCAAACUUACUUGUAAUGGGAAGGAGAAAUUCCUUGGAAAAGAACUUUGGUUUUGUUUGUAUCUACCUCUGCAUUGACCCAAUUAGCCCAUGUUGUCAAACCAAGUUUAAAAGCUUCCAUGCGAUCCAUGUCUUUGAGUAUCUUGUCACCUAUUUGAACAUAAUCCCAUCUGCAUCACAAAAUGGUCAAGUUAAUUACUUAUUAGCUAUUGUCAGAAUCAAAACUUUUGGUGCAAUAACUAACGUUCUGUUUGAAUAAAUAUUCAUAAACACUUAUAGAAAAAAAAAUUAUUUCAACCUAUGCAUAAAUUACUUUGAAUUCAUAGAAAAAAGUUUAUUUCAUUGUUUCAUUUAUUUAAACAUGGCCCAAAUGAUUUUGAGGAAAACAUACGGUUGCUUGGGUCCUCUGCGGUACCACCAAAGCCAAGUGUUGAAAACCAAAAUGUCCAUUUCUUUCCAUAUGCUUCCACUCUGAAGGGAAUCAAGCUUCAAGACUCGACCAAUUUUUUCCUCUUCAAUGUCAACCAAAUAUGUAGAAUGAAAAAUAAUAACCGAAACUCCAUAGUCCUACAGAAGCAUUGUAGUUGUUAUUGCUUGAAACUUUUGGUAAAAAUAUAAAAUAAAAUAAAAUUGUUACCACAAUUGUGAAAGAGAUUAUAGUUCACUAACCUGGAAUGUGUAGUUAGAUACGUUCACAUCGCCCUGCUCUAAUAUUUCAGUUUGAGGCACAGAAGAACGAAGCAAGCAUAUAAGUGAUUGCCAUUGGUUGAGACUGACUGAAUCUCCUAUAAACAUGAUCUGCUUCCCCUUAAGUUUUGUCAAGAAAUCUUUCCCAUCAAAUCUGCAAAAGGGUAUUUUGAUUAGAUCAAUGUUAUUAAAUUGUUUCAAAGUUUGGUGGGAUGGGGAUAAUUAAAUGAGGAUGAUGCCAUUAAUGCUGAAAAAUUCACUGCAAGUAACAAUAUUUUGAUACCAUAUAUAAUAGUAUAUGCAAUUAUAUCACUUUUUAUUUUAUUUUUUUUCCUUGUAAAAUUGACAAAGUUUUAAUUUCAUUUUAAAAAUUGAUGAAAGUUUUGAUUUUCGUUCAUGUAAAAUUGACAUUAUAAGAAAUAUAUUAUAAAUUUAAAUAUAUUUUUUAUCCUUAAAAUUGAUAAAAUUUUAUUUUCGUUCCUAUAAGAUUUGUUGUACUUGAACAAAGAAUGAACAAUUUUUUUUAUAAGGAUAAAAUCAAAACUUUGUCAAUUUUACAAGUAAAACAUGUUUUAGCUUAUAUUAUAUACAUUUAUCUUAAUGUCCCAGCUAUGUUUUUUCACAUACACCUAUUUUAAAAAUACACUACAAAAAACAAAGGUAAAACUUUUUGCUCUCCCAAUUUUGUGUUCAAAGGACAUUUCUCUUCUACUCCCUCUCUUUACUCGGUAAUCAUUUAAUUUCAUGUAUGACAUUGUGUAUAAUUUUAGUAAAUACACAUUUUAUUCAAUGAAAAUAUUAAAAAAAGGGGGUGGUGGGGUUGGUGAAUAAAGACAAAGGCUCGUGUUCAUGCCUAAUUUGACUAAUACAGAACUUUAUUUGAAAUCUCCAUGAAGGAUCAGGACGAUGAAGCCAAAUCAAAUACAUUUAAGCUCACGGGUUAACAGCCUAUACUGUAAAAGCUCUCUAGUCUUUUUCAUCGACAAAAAAUUUGCAACUUAUCACAUGCCAUAUUAAUUUACAAGCCCCUAUUCCCAAAAAAACAAAACAAGUUUUCUAUCACAUGCAGUUUGUGCCAACUACUAGCAUACACAUGAAUUCUGUAUCAAUAAAUGCUUGCAAAAAUAGAUGGUGAAAAAGGAUUCAGGAAGAAAAAUAAAAAUAAACUAGCAGGUACAAAAAAUAAAAAUAAAAAACGUGCUAACUUACAAGAAAAAAAAAUGUUGGUUUGUAGAAACAGAGUUAUUCUUUCUUUUUCUUUUCACUUUUCCUUCAUUUCAAAUGUUAAGAUUUUCUCUACUUCUUUACUUUCUCUUCACCAUACCAAUAGACAGUUAAAAUAUAGAAAAUAUUUUUUCAUGAGAAAAUAAGAGAGAAACUUAUUCUCUUUUAACUUGAUUUGAAUACAUUUUGAAGGUUCUUGAAUACGGAAAAAAUAACAGAAAUAAAAAUAAAAAUAAAAGUUAUAUACAAUAUUUUUUUAAUAUUCAAAUAAUGUACUGUAAAAUCACUAGACCCUUAAACAAAAAAAAAACAAGUCUCUACCAUAAAAACCAAUACCUGUACAUUAAAAGAGUGAAACAAUACUUAUGAUAUAGUAAUAAAUUGUUGAACAAAAAUAUAAAGAUAGUAAUAAAUAUAUUAUCUCUCCAUGUCUGUCCGUAUCUAUGUCCUUAUCCUCGUAUGAACUGUGUUUCACGAAUGUCGAUGUCGUAUAACAUACGACAACACUACUCUAGAUCUUACAAGGAAAAUUGAAGAAAAUAAGAUUAAGAAGUGAAUUCGUACAUUGGUAAGUCGCAUUCGUUGGGUUGCCAUCUGUAUUUGAGGUAUUGUUGAUCAGGACGACCAUAUUUCAAGCAAUCAAAUUCCUUACGAAUGUGAGGGCAGGUUGAAGAGUCAUAGAGAGGGUAAGAAUCAUCCAACUCCCACCUUCCUUCGUACAUGUUGCAACUCAAUUCAUGUUCUUGUUCUUCUUGUGAUCUUUGCCAUUUGAAAUUGGACUUAACAUGCCCUCCUCCACCAGUAUUCACCACACAGAGCAAUUGGCAGAGACAAAUGACCCCAAAAACCCAAGGAUGCAUCCUCAUUGCAACAUUCCUUUGUGUAAUUGUGUGAAGGUAUAUAUAUAUAUAUAUAUAAAAUUCAAGAUAAUUGGUUGGAACUGGACAAAAUUUUAGUUUGCCUCUCUGCAGAGAAUGUGUUAUUCGGUUGUCAAAUGUGUGCAUUUAUUUAUGUUUGUUUUGGUUUAUAAAGUGGUAAAAAAUUAAGAUGUGACAUAAUUGAUAAUAUUUUGUUAAUUAAAGAUGUGAUUAUAAAUUUAAUUUUUUAUCUGUGUAUGUAAAAAAUAUAUGUCUCCUGUUCAAAAGUAUAUACUGAACAUGUACUAAUAUAAUAUGUCAUCCUACCUUCUUAAUUCUUAUAUCGACUCCCAGCCCCAUUUCAAACUUCCCUACAAUUAAGUUUCUAUAAGUUUUAUCUAUUAAAACUCAAUACAUAAAAUAAUAAAUUGUAUUUAUGUUUAGCAUACAUUACAAUUUGAAUUGCUUAUUUACUUUUUGUAGAUAUACGUUUUUAAUUAUCAUUACUUUUGGUUAUUACGUACGUUUUUUUCUUUUGAUUGCUUAUUUGCUUUUAAAUUGCUUUUUCUUUAUAAUAUACUUUAGAGUUUAGAUAAUUAUCAUGGGUCUCACUCAAUUAGUUGAAUAGUUGAAUAGGAUGUGAGUAUUGUAAACCUCUUGUUAUUGUAUUUAAUUUCUAUAAAUAAAAAAAGUAACACUAAUUUUUUUUAAAAAGAGUUUAGACAAUAAUUUUGUUUCAAAUUGCUUUUAGUUUAUUUUACCGAUAUUUCCAUUUAUUGUUAACUAAAGUUUAUCAAUAUUUGGAAUUUGGUAGAUAAAUUAGUUUUUGUAAUGUUGUUGAAAUAUGAUAUCUUAAAGAACUCUUUUUUUAUUCUUUAAGAAAAAAAAUUAAUAAUGUUGAUCUAUUUUAGCUUACUCUUGUAUAAACAAUUUUACAAUACAAACUUAUAAACUUGAUAAAUGACCAUUUAAAAACAAAGAAUCAAUAAUUUUGAUAUUUUUAUAAGAUAUAUAAUAUUUUAUAUUUUAUUAAACUAAUUAUUGAUCAUUAUUAAUAAAAAAAUGAGUCAUUUUUUAUUUUGGUUAUCAUGUGUUUGUUUUUCUCUCCCCUUAAUAACUUUAUGUAGUUGGCCUCUAUCAGGAGAGAUGAAUCCCUUAAAUGAAUAUUACUAUUUCAAUGGAGUAUGAGUUGUCUCUCUAUCUCUCUUUAUAUAAUAUUAUCUUUGUUCUUAUUUAUAGGACCUAAGUUUGAAAUAAUGUUUUUUUUAUAAGAUUCAAUCUAUAAUGUUUCUUGCAUUAAUUAUUUUUAGACUAAAAAUUCACUUAUUAAAAGAAGAGGGAGAAUAGGGAGAAUGCAUUAACAUAUAAUUACUCCUAUAAGAGAGAAAAUAUUAAUGAUAAGGAUAAUUUUUAAAAACUUCUAAAUUUAAAAUAAAUUUAUUAUUAUCAACUAAAUUAAUCAUUUUCUUUAUUUUUUAUGAAUUAGGUAAUUGAGUCUUAUAUAUAGGAACAAAGAUAUUAUGAGGUAUCAAAUGAAAAUAUUUUUCCAAUUUUUUUUUAAAUGGGUCAUAAUGAUGAAUAUCAAGUGAAAUUUUUUUUUAUCGUUAAGUAUGUAAAAACUUUAAAUCUAGUGAUCAAAAUUACUUAAGAUGUCGUUGUGUAUUUCUUUUAAUUUUUUUAUCAUUUUAUAUGUAAAAUUAAUUAGAACAAUUUUGGCCGUUUGUAAAUGAUUGUAUGGUGAAAACUUAUUCUUGUAAUUUUUCUUCAAUAUAUAAGAAACAUAUUUAAAUGAGAUUAAAGUAUGGAAAAGUGAAUCUCAACUAAUUUAAACAAAUAGUUAAAAUUAAAGAUAAUUAAAACAAUCUUCAUAGUUAACAUCACUUCGUCUAAUCUCUUACUAUAUAUGUCGUAUAUAUGAAAAGGAUUGUCAAUUAAUAUUGCAAUACUAUUUUUUAUUAAUUUGUAGUCUAAAAAUUUUGAUACAUUGUAUCAUGGAAGAAAAAGUAAAGUUAUUUAUUGACUUGAAGAGGAAUUGUUGGUAACGCUAUGUGCUAUCUGGAUUAUUGGACUUUUUCUCUCACUAGUGAUGAACAUCUAUCUGGAGUGCUUUUACAGGUCUUACUUUAAUUUCACAUGGAACACAUGACCAACACCUCACAAAGAAUAAGUAUGUAUCAACAAGUAAUUCGUGUAACUGAUCCUUAACUUGAUAUUUUUUUAGUAAAGUAUCGGAUUUGAGUCUAAUGAAUAAAUAAAACAUAAUUGAGAGAAAAAUUUUUAUUAAAAAUGAUUAGUCAGAUUAAAUGAAAAUUAAUCAUCAAUUAAAUUGAUGAAUACUUCACACUAAUAUGAUAAUAUAAAAAAAAUAAUUAUAUAUAUAUAUAUAUAUAUAUAUAUAACGAAGAAGGAUUGAGCAAGCCAUCAUAGCUGGCAUAUUAAUCUGCUUGAUAUCCAGAAAACUAUUCAGGAAUUUAGUAUUUAGAACGUGGCAUUAUAUUAAUAAAAUCGAUCAAAUUGGGAAACAAAUUAUGAAAAGAACAUAAAUUUAAACAAAUUAUUUUUUAUAUCAAUAAUCAAACAAACAAACAAUUAUAUUAAUUAUCAGAAUCAAACAAAUUAAUUUCAUAUACUGUAAAGCAAAUAAUCAAUAAUAUUAAUCACUAAUUGUCAUUAUUUAUUAUCAAAUCGUGUAUUAAUUAAUAUAAAAAAGAAAGUUUUGUAUCAAAAGUCACUUAUGAAUCUUGGCUAGAAUCCUUUAAUUUAUUGAAGUCUCAUGUUGGAGUUUUAUUUAUAGGGAAAAAAUAUGAUUAGGAUUGAAGACUCCAUCAAAAUGACAUAGUUAAGUUUUUCUGUAAAGAUUAUUUUUUUUAUCGAUAACUAUUAAUAGUUUGUUUUUGUUAAAAUAUUAAUAGAAAGAAUUUCAGCAAAUAUUAGUAUAAGAUGUUUUACUAUUAUAAUAUGAUAAUAUAAAAAAAGUAAAUUUUAUCACAUAGGCACAUAUCACAUGCCAACAUUAUAUUUAUUUCUUUUAUGUCCAAAUAUAGUUGAUUUUUUUUUAUUUCUUAAUUCAUAAAAUAUGUAAUUAGAGUAGUAUAGGUAAUUAUAAUGACCAUUGAGUGUAUGGAUCAACCGAUGCAUGAGUGUUUUAACUUAAUUAAUUGUAUUGAGUUUGGGCCCUAAAUAUAUAAUUAUGUUAAAUAUUAAAAGUGAAAAUUUUGUCCCUCAUAAUGAUUUUAUCUAGCUUAAAACCUCCAAUAGAGAAUAGCUAUGGUGUAUAAAAAGGAUAAUUAUAAAGAUUAUAUAUUAUGUUUAAUAAAUCAUUAAAUCUUAUAUGAAUUUUAAUCUACUGAUAAAAAUAAAUAUCAACUUUGAUUUUACAUUUAAUAAAAGGAUUUUUAUAAGUAUAGUAGUCAAUUACUAUCCAAAUAUUGAAAUAAAUACUUUAUUUAAUUAAUUAUGAUAUAUUUAAGAUAUUGAAAUUUCGCUAUUUAUUACAAAGUUAAAAUGUUAAAAAUAUGUGCAUGUUACAUAUAACAUCAGAAUAAAUUAUUUUUUUUACAGAACAUCAGAAUAAAAUUAAUCACGGUUAUAUUUGUUUUUUCUAUAUUGAUGAUACCUCUUAUUCAUUGUUUUUUAUAAUAUAUAUUUAUUGAAAUUGUAUUAUUUUCAAACUGAAUUUAAUUAUUUUAUAAAACUAGACAUGUCUAUUAAAAAAUCAAUAAUAUUAAUAUAAAAAAAGAUUUUGUUACUUAGGGAGAUGUGAAAACUACAUCAAAUUUAUUCUUUUAUCUCUUAAAUGUCACUGAUUUUUUUAUUUUAUCUUUUAAUUAAUAAAUUAUAUUAUUAAAGGUAAUUAUAACGAAUAUAUAUAUUCUAAUUAAAUCAAUCCAUUAAAUUAUUCAAUCUUAUAAGAAUUUUAAUCAAGCAAACUCUUAUUUUAGUCCUUGACUUUGUGAGAUGCUAUCGUAGUAAUUCCUAAAAUUAGAAAAAUGCUAAAUAAAUUCCUAAAAUUGAAAUUUGUUAGUCAUAUUAGUCUUUAUUGUUAGUUUCGUUAAGAACUAUAAAGGUAGUACCUAAGUUAAACUUCAUCCAGACUUAAGUAUAAAUAAAAUUAAUGAUUUUAUCUUAUUAAUUAAGAAAGUUAGUUAAUAUUAUUUAAUUUUAAAAAUCAUAUUUAAAAAAUAAUAUUUUUUCUAAAAUUUCAUUUAUUGAAACUUGAUAUUAAGAAUAAAAUAAUCAUUGAAAAUAAAUCUUAAUUAAAUGAAGAAUAUUUUUGAAAUGAUACACUAAAAAGAGUGAAAAUAAUUAAAAUUUGGUUAUAUUUAAGUUCACAUAUUUUUUUCGUUGGUUAUAAUUGAUUAGAUUUUAAGGAUUAUAUUUAUGGAUUUAUUUGAUUUUUUUUUUUAAUUUCAAAGACUAUUAUGACAGUGUCUCACAAAGUUAGAGAUAAAAAUGAGAGUUUACUCAAUAUUGAUUUUAUAUAAUAAGGUAAUCGGUUUAUUAAAUUUUAUGGAAUGAUUUUAUAAUUACUACAAUCAAUUACUAUGUAAUAAAAAUAAUGAAUUAAUUAAACUAUUUAAUAAAAUAUGAUAUAUUGAAAGUAUUGAAAUUAUGUAAUUAAUUACUGAUAAAAAAUUAUGCAAUUAAUUACAAGAGAUGUGCAUGUUACAAAACAUUAGAACAAGAUUAAUCAAGUUUACAUUUAUUUAUUUAUUCUUCAUACCUCUUAUUCAUUAUUAUUUUUAUAAUUCUUAAGUUUUAAAGUCAAUCCAAAUUUAUCAUUCAGUAUGAAAUUUGACAUUUGACAAAGAAUAUAUAUCAAAAGGCCAAGAAAAUUACAUUUCCCAUAUACUCAACAUAUAGUUCACAUCAAUUCCAAACGGCACAACCCCUAUACCCACGAUCAAGGUCACAACAAAAAAUAAUAAUUUUGUACAAUAAUUCUAAAAAAAAGUUAAGAUAAAUGCUCAUAAAAUAAGGUAUGAAAUGUAAUUAUCAACAACAAAGCAGAGAAUAAAGGCAAGGUGGUGCAAGGGUGUGGUGGUAUGGGUUUGUGGAGGCAAUGGGUUUCAUGGUGGAGGUGAGAUGGGGUGUUUGGGUUCGUGGACGUAGUGGGUUUUGUGGUGGAGGUGAGGUGGUGAGGAGUGUUGGAUUUGUGGAGACAGCAAGUUUGGUGGUGUUGGUAUCUGGAAUGGGUUCGCAGUGGAGGUGGGUUGUCGUGGUGGCGGAUCUAAGACUUGAGGCUAAUUUGGGAAAUUAAUUUUAAAAAAAUAUUAAUAAUAAUUAUGAUAUGCAUGAAUAAAUAAAAAUAUUAAACAUAUAAGUAGAGUGAGAAAAUGUGAUAUUGAGUUCAAAUACAUAAAAAAGCAUGUGCGAAUAUAAAAUUUAAAGAUCAAUACUUAUAAUUUUAUUAAAAUAAGGUGUGCAUUUAUUUAUCCUCACAUAAAAAUAGGUCAGAGUGUUCAUACAUAUUAGAUUAGGGGGUGCAAAAUAUAAAAUUUAAGAUAAAAUAUAUGCAACUCUAUAAAAUGAGGGGAUGCAUUUGCCCAUCGUCAAGUAAGUGUAGGUCCGUUUGGGGGUACUUGCAUCGACGGAGGGUUUGAUCAUGGUAGAGGCAAGGUAGUGGUGGUGGGAGGGGAUCGAAAGAGAAACUACGGUUUGUAAAGAGCACAAAGAUAAAUGAGGUGACAACAAUAGUUUGAAUAAGUAUAAGGAAGAAGAACAUUCAACAUCGAUUUUAAUAUGAACCGGCAUUAGAAAGAAAUUUCAACAUUGGUUCAAAUUUGAACCUAACAAGUUAAAAUAUGUGUCAUGGUCACAUAUUUAUAGCCAUUUGAUGGCUCUUAAAAAAAACAAGUUAAAAGUUGUGACUCUUGGUAAUUUCUUCAAAACUAGUCACUUUAAAAGUUGUGACUCUCUUGAAAACUAGUCACUUUAAGAAUUGUGACUUUUGACAAUUUUUUUUUCAAAAUCAGUCACUGGUAAUCGAUUACCAUUAUAGUGUAAUUGAUUACACAUCAACAGAUGUAACUCUUCAUGUUUAGAUUUGAAAACCAACGUUUAAAAACACUGGUAAUCGAUUACAAAUAUUGUGUAAUCGAUUACAGAAGUUUGAAAAAGUUUUAUCACAAGUUGUGACUCUUGAAAUUUGAAAUCCAAUGUCUAAAAACAUUGGUAAUCAAUUACAUGCCUACGGUAAUCGAUUACUACUUUGUAAAACAGUUAUAAAACUGUUUGGGCUUCUGGUAAUCGAUUACCAGAGAGUAAAAACUUUGGUAAAAGAUUUUUCUUUGAAAAAUUCUUUUGGACAAAUUGUGCUAUUCAAUCUUUUCUUUUGAAGAAAUCUUUUUAUACUUAUCUUGAUGUUUUUCUUGAAGUUCUUGCAUAUCUUGAGUCUUCUCUUGAAUCUUGAUUCUUGAUUGAACGACUCUUUGAUUCUUGAAACUUGUUUGACUCUUGAUUCUUGACUUGAAUCUUUGGCAUCAUCAAAAUAAACUUGGAAAGCUUUGCUUCCACAAUUGAAAAUAUGGCAGUCAGUGACCAUGCCAUACUUUGUGAUAGGGCUCACACACCUGCAAAGAGGAUUCUCUUGGAGCUUACAUUGCAGGAUGCCUUGUUGGCACAGAAUAAUUUUUUGGCCAAGCAACUUGAGACCCUCACAAAAACCUUGAAUAAAAUUUUGCAACAAUUGCAUGCAGUUCAACCUGCUCCUUCAGCGAUCAUGCAAGUCGAGGGGUGUAGUAUACGUGGAGGAACUCAUGAGUUGGGUGCUUGCAUGAAUCAUGAUGACACCUCCAAGGAAGUUAAUUAUAUGGCUAACCCUAACAGAAAAGGUUUCCAUCCAGGUGGCUAUUUAGGAUACCAGUAAGGGGGCAACUUCUCUCACAAUCAGGGCCAAGGCUGGAGGACCCACCCUAGGAAUCAGUUCAACAAGGACCAAUGGGGUCCAUCCAAUCGGCCUCCUAACCAAGGGCCUAACUUGUAUGAGCAGACCACCAAGUUGAAGGACACAUUGACUCAAUUUAUGCAGGUAUCUAUGUCCAACCAUAAAAUCAUGGAGUCCACAAUUAAAAAACUAGAGAUUCAAGUGGGGCAAUUGGCCAAGCAGCUAGCUAAAAAAUCCACUGGGAAUUUCGUGGCAAAUACUGAGAAAAACCCAAAGGAGGAGUGUAAAGCAGUAGUCACUAGGAGUCAGGAUAGAGAUUGAGUGGAGAAGAGGGAAGAGAAUACUGAGGGAGAGGUAAAAAGUGAGGUAGAAAGGGAAGAAGAAAAUAAGCAGAGUGAAAAAACAUUGAAUAAAAUGAAAAAUGUGAUGAGUGAAGAAAAAAAUAAAAAGAGAGAAAUAGAAACAAAUGAAAGGCAAGAGAGUGAGGAAAUGGUCGGUGAGCCUAAAACCAAAAAGCCAGUUGGCAAGGGGGAGUAAGAGAAAACCAUCCAUCAUUCUAGUGAAGGAAGCCCCGUAUCUUCUUGUGCCUUCAAGGAAAGAAAAGGAGCAGUACUUUGCUCGGUUUCUUGAUAUCUUCAAUAAAUUAGAAAUCAUAAUUCCCUUCGGGGAGGCCCUGCAACAGAUGUUGUUGUACACCAAAUUCCUGAAGGACCUCCUCACCAAAAAAGGGAAAUACAUCAAUAAUGGGAGCAUAGUGGUGGAAGGGAACUAUAGUGCGGUUAUUCAAAGAAUUUUGCUACAAAAAUUCAAGGAUCCUGAAAAUGUGACCAUUCCUUGUUCCAUAUGGCCUAUAUUAGUAGGAAAGGCUCUAAUUAACUUGGGAGCAAGCAUUAAUCUAAUGCCACUCUCGAUGUGCAGGCGGAUAAGAAACUUAAGGAUUGCACCCACAAGGAUGACACUUCAACUCGCAGACCAUUCUAUCACAAGGCCAUAUGGUGUAGUUGAAGAUGUUCUAGUCAAAGUCUGUCAAUUCACAUUCCCAGUGGAUUUUGUCAUUAUGGAUAUUGAAAAGGAUUAUGAUAUUCCGCUGAUUCUAGGUCGCCCAUUUAUGUUGACAGCUAAAUGUGUAGUUGACAUGGGCAAUGGUAAUCUAGAAAUGACUGUAGAUGAUCAAAAGGUGACCUUCAACCUAUUUGAAGUAAUCAAGCAUCCAAGUGACAACAAGGCUUGCUUCAAAGUGGAGACAUCUGGGCAAAAGGCCAAUAUGGUUGUACAAGGCAUGACUUCCCACUCCCCAUUGGAGAAGGAAUUAAUAAAUGCUAUUGGUUGUCUGACAAAGGAGGAGGAGAAAGAUCUGAGAGCUUGCUUGGAGGACUUAGAUAGACUGAAGGUAAUUUCCUCAGGGGAACAUGCUUUUGAAGAGCUAAAGAAGGAUCCUACAGCAGAGAAACCCAAAGUAGACUUGAAGAUCCUACCAGCCCAUUUGAAAUAUUUGUUCUUGGAAGAGGAUGAAGCAAAGCCAGUGGUGACUAGCAAUGACUUAUCCUCUGAUGAAGAGUUUCGAUUGGUCAAAGUUCUCAAGAAACACAAGGCAGACAUUGGAUGGCAUAUCUCAAACCUUAAGGGAAUCAACCCUUCAAAUUGCAUGCAUAAAAUUAUGAUGGAAGCAAAUUACAAGCCAGUGAGACAACCACAAAGAAGGCUUAAUCCUUCAAUGAAAGAAGAGGUGUGCAAAAAAGUCCUUAAACUUUUGGAGGCAGGACUUAUCUAUCCUAUCUCAGACAGUGCUUGGGUAAGCCCAGUUCAGGUAGUCCCCAAGAAAGGUGGGAUAAUUGUGGUAAGAUACAAAAAAAAUGACCUCAUUCCCACUCGAACUGUUACAGGAUGGAGAAUAUGCAUUGAUUAUCGGUCUUACCAUUUUAAAUUACUAAUUGGAUGAAUUGGUGCACUUGCCAAUGAGUUAACACAUUAUCAACAUUAUCCUUAAUAACAACAUCAUCCUUUAUCAAUAUUGUCAUCAAUAACAACAUCACUUCAUACCAAAAUUAUCAUUGAUAACAACAUCAUCGGUAAUCAUAUUCCAUAUAUAUACAUAUAAAUUUCAUGUUUGGGAUUCACACUCCUCAGGUCUUCAGACAACACAAGUCUCAUACAACACAAUCCAUAAUAUCAUAAGACUAGUAUUUUAGGGAAAAAUUCUAAAUUAAAGAGGAGAGCUAUGGUUUACAAAACAAACUCUUAAGCCCAUUUAAAAUUUAAUAAAGAAGUAAAUAGAAGAACAAAUAUCAAAUUUUGGGAAAAGUCUCCUCUGUAAUUAAGACUUUUCCCAAAAAUUCCAAUCAUUACAACAACAACAUUAUUCACAAUUUCAUUCAUCAAUAACAAAUAUAUCACAUCCCAUUAGUCAAAAACACAGUUUUUCUUGAAAACCAGCAUUCAACAGGGAAAGGCAUACGACCCCAACUAUGGUAUCAAAAGCUGUAAAUUAUAAUAAACUCCACUCACCUAUCGUGAGCUCCCUGUCAGCUCCUCUCUACAUCAUACAGAGGCCUCUCUCAUUCAUGUUCGUUGGUCCAAACGUAGAGUUCUAUAUACCAAAUUGAAGGCAAUUUAGUAUAGAUUUCAAAAACAAGGUUAAUAAUAGCAUUCGGGGUCAAUUACCCCCAUCAAAACAAAAAAGGCUAAGGGGUAUUUCGGGUUCUACUACAAAGAGACAUCACUUUGAAAUUUUAACCACGCCAAUGUGAUAGGGGUUCAGCAAAGGUCAUGAAAACAACAUCAAUUUUACAUAAAAAAAAACUUUUUCAACGUCUCAUUUCAAGGGUUUUUCAAAGGAAGUGUAAAAACAUCAUAUUACAGUACUCAAAACACAAGAGACACUAAGAGAAGCUCAAACUAACUAGGAGAAAGACAUAGAAGUCAAGAUUACCUCAUAGAAACUACGAAAGAAAUGAUUGAGAACUUGUUUCCCUACCAAAUCCUUGAGGUGGACUCUGAGGAUUCUGCUUCGAUUACAACGUUCCUCUCUGUGCAGUGGUUCAACAGCAAGCAACGACGGCUCGUAGUGACCAUUGGUGGUUGUGGGUGGUGGAUGAAGAGUUUCUAGGGUGGUUCGGGUGAAUUUUUUAGAGAGAGAGAGGCAUGAAAUUGUGUUUUUUACGUUGAAGAACAUAUUUAUAAUCUGCAGAUCUCGCUUAACGAGUGUUAGUCGUCAUUUACGACUAACUUUUGUAUUUAAAAGUUUCAUGAAAUUUAUAUCUUUUCCCCAAUUUAUGAUUCUUUUUGUAGGUUUGUACAUAUUUUUAUGUUUAGUUUAAUUUUACUCAAUAGAUAUUCCCAAUAUUGUGAAUUAAUGUGGUUCAACUUCAUUUUCAGGCUAAAGGAUGAAGAAGAAAAAGGUUGUACCAGCUAGUGUGUCGCUAAGUGAGGCAUAUGCGCUUAGCGAGUAACAUCCGCUAAGCGAGGCACUCAACUUGCUUAGCGAGUUGGGAGAAUCUGGAAGAGAAUUUUCCAUUCAUGCACACACCCAGCGCGCCAUCAGCUCGCUCAACGAGUCAUUUGUCUCUUCUCGCGCUCAGCCUGCCCAGCUCGCUAAGCGAAAAUUCACUAACUCGCGCUUAGCGGGAAAAUGGUGCUAUGCGAGCCUUCAGGAUCAAAAAGCCCUUAAAAGACUGAAGUUGACAAAAAAUAAAAAGUUCAGAGAUAGUUCUUUUGGAAGAGAGACAUAACAGAGCAAGAGAGAAAAGCUUGAACGAAAGGCCUUAGCUUUCAAGAGGAUUCUAGGUUUAGGAGUGAUUAUUAGGUUUUUAGAGGUGGAGGAGACAUCCCCACCACUUUGUAAUCUUAAUUUUCCCUCAAAAACCUCAUCUUGGUGCUGAAAGGUUCUAACUUGCAAUGGAAGGCUAAAUCUCUUGUUGGGGAUUUCUGCUGAGCUUUGAUGUAAAACUCUUCACUAUCUAUUUAAAGUUGUUUUAUUGUGUUCAUUGCUUUUAUCUGUAUUUAAUUCUUGCAUGCUAUAAAAUGUCGUAAUCUUAAUGCAACUCGUUUAGGCUACGUUCGACGAGGAAUCUAGAACGAAGUUUAAAUAGAAUUAGACUCAUUCACUAGAGGGAUCUUGGUUUGAGUAGUCGUUUUCGGCAUAGAACACAGAAACAACCUUAAAUAGAGAAAAACACUUAAUUACAUCAUAUUGUUCAGUAGAAAGACCCAACGUUUUUAUCAUCUGUUUAUCUCUCAUAUUUAGAUAGUUAAUUUUGUAGUUAAAUUAGAACCGUAGACACAACUUCUCUUUAUAUUUACAAGCUUUAUACAAAUGUUUACCUACUGAAUGAAUGCUCUCUGAAUGAAACACUGUGAUUUGAUACUCGGUUCUUACCGUUUUAUAUUACUUGUGCGACUCGGUACACUUGCCGAUUAGCAUCGCUGACCAGUGGAACAAGUUUUCAGCAAACAAGUUUUUGGCGCCGUUAUCAAGGAACUUCUUUCCAUUUGGGAAGUAUAGUUCAAUUUGUAGGCAUUGAUUCUUUAUUCUUUGAUUGAUUUUUGUGUGAAUAGUUAUUUUGAAAUUUAUUCUUCUCUUGAUUUGGUUAAUUGUUGCUCUUGUUAGUGUUUUGUAUGCGAGGUAACCCUUUAGCAGGUGAUUUAGCUCCAUUGGAUUUGGAGAUAGAAGCCACUUGUAGGAGGAAUAAUGCAGAGAGAAGAAGAAAAAUUUUGCAAGAUAGGACAACACAACCAGGUUCAGAGGAAGCUCAAUCUUCUGAGUCAUCUUCUAUCUUUCCAGAGCCAAGAGAACCAGGAGUAGGUGCAUCUGAGGUUGAUAUCAUGGCUGAAGAUCAACCUAGGAGGAUUACUCUUGAGGAUUACUCUAGUUCAACCGUGCCGCAAUUCUUCACAAGUAUAGCGCGACCGAAAGUUCAAGCACACAAAAUUACUUAUCCUUAUUCCUUAAUACAGUUAAUUCAGGGAAAUAUAUUUCAUGGCUUGUCGAAUGAAGACCCAUAUGCAUACUUGGCCACAUACAUUGAGAUUUGCAAUACAGUCAAGAUUGUUGGUGUGCCUGAGGAUGCAGUGAGGCUGAGUUUGUUCUUUUUUUCAUUGUCUGGAGAAGUAAAGAGAUGGUUACAUUCAUUUAAGGGAAACAGUCUUAAGACUUGGGAUGAAGUGGUGGAGAAAUUUCUGAAGAAAUAUUUCCCCGAUUCUAAGACAGUAGAAGGAAAAACAUCCAUUUCUUCAUUUCACCAGUUUCUGGAUGAGUCUCUAAGCGAAGCACUUGAACGAUUCCGUAGCUUGCUGCAGAAAACAAUGACUCACGGAUUCUCAGAACCAAUUCAGCUCAAUAUUUUUAUAGAUGGGUUAAGGCCGCAAGCAGUUGUUGGAUGCUUCUGUUGGGGGGAAGAUCAAAUUGAAGACCCCAGAAGAGGCUAUGGAACUCAUUGAAAACAUGGCUACAAGUGAUCAUGCCAUCUUGCGUGAUCGGACUCACAUUCCCACAAAGAGAAGCCUGCUUGAGCUUUCCUCUCAAGAUGCAUUACUAGCACAAAACAAGUUGCUAUCUAAGCAGCUUGAGACAUUGACAGAAACAUUGAGUAAGUUGCCUAAUCAAUUGUAGGUUAAUCAACCUUCACAUUCAAUAGAGGUUGCAGCAUAUGCGAAGGAGCUCAUGAAUCCGGACGCUAUAUUCCCCUGGAUGACACAACCCAAGAGGUAAAUUACAUGGGAAACCAAAACAGACUAGGAUUUAAUGCAAGUGGAUAUGCAAGUUACUAGCAAGGUUUAAAUUAUAACCAGAAUCAAGGGCAAUGGAGGUCCCACCCUGAAAAUCAGUUCAACAAGGACCAAGGUGGAUCAUCCAAUAGGCCUCAGAACCAAGGGCCUAGCCUGUAUGACAGAACCACCCAGCUGGAGGAAACUUUAGCUCAAUUUAUGUCGGUUACAAUGUCAAAUCAUAAGAGCAUCGAGUCUGCCAUUAAAAACUUGGAGAUUCAAGUGGGGCAGCUGGCCAAGCAAAUAGCAGAGAAUUCUUCUAGCAAUUUUGGAGCAAACACUAAGAAGAAUCCAAAUGAAGAAUGCAAAGCUAUCAUGACCCGGAGCAGAAAGGCAAACCUGGAUGAGGAUGAGGGAAGGAUUAGUGAUGACCAAGAAUUGGUGGCUAGAGAAGAAGAAAAAGAGGAAGAAGAAGAAGAUCAGUUGAGAGAGAAAAAAAUAAAUGAUGGUGAGAAAGAAAGAAAUGAAGAAAAAGAAAAAGAAAAAGAAAAAGAAGAAAAAAAUGAAAAAAAAAUAAAGAGAAAGAGGGAGAAAGGAAGACAAAGAGUGAGCUUGCAAGAGAAAAGAAGAAAGAGGUUGUCUCGUGUACUGGGAAGGAAGCACCAUACCCUCUGGUGCCAUCAAAGAAAGACAAUGAGCGACAUUUGGCUCGUUUCCUUGAUAUCUUCAAGAAAUUGCAGAUAACCAUUCCCUUUGGAGAAACUCUACAACAAAUGCCACUCUAUUAUAAGUUUUUGAAAGAUUUGCUGACCAGAAAGAACAAAUACAUCCAUAGUGAUAACAUUGUAGUGGAAGGGAACUGCAGUGCGAUGAUUCAAAGAAUCCUUCCACCUAAGCAUAACGAUCCUGGGGGCCAGUAUAAAUUUGAUGCCGAUGUCUGUUGGUAAGGCUCUCACUGAUUUAGGGGCCAGUAUAAAUUUGAUGCCACUCUCCAUGUGCAGGAGAAUUGGAGAGAUGGAGAUUAUGCCAACUAGAAUGACACUACAACUUGCAGAUCGGUCUAUUACAAGGUCUUAUGGUGUGAUUGAAGAUGUUCUAGUCAAGGUGCAGCAAUUUACCUUCCCUGCAGACUUCGUUGUUAUGGACAUUGAAGAGGAUUUUGAAAUCCCCUUGAUUUUGGGUCGUCCCUUCAUGUUAACCGCCGAUUGUGUGGUGGAUAUGGGAAAAGGUAAACUGGAAAUGUGCAUAGAUGAUCAGAAGAUCAAGUUUGAUCUGUUUGAUGCAGAAAACCACUUACUUGACCCGAAUGUCUGUUUAAAGGUUGAGGAAAUUAAGAAUGAGAUGGUUCUGAUGGCCAGAGCCAAGCUUGCUCCAGAUCCAUAAGGUAAUAUGCAUCAAGCUAAUGACGUUAAACGAGCGCUUACUGGGAGGCAACCCAUCUCUUUUUAUUUUCAUUAAUCAUUGCAUAUAGUUAGGAUUAACUUAUUUGUGAAUUGUUGAGUAAGUCAUCAGCAUGUUUAGUUUUGAAAAUGGGGUUGUUAAAGCUCUUUGAAGCUGUGGAUGAAAAAUAACUUAGAAAAUUUUUCAGUCAUCCACUCGCUCAGCGCGCCCUGUGCGCUAAGCGAAUUAUCAUUCAUGCGCUGAGCGAGUCUCAACUCGCGCUAAGUGGAUCAACCCCUACCUAUUAGCUGAUGGGGUCUCGCUAAGCGAGACCUGUGCGCUAAGCCCAAAAACCUCUCUGAAAUUGCAUUUAAUGGAAUUAGGGUAAGCAAGUCUUCUUUCUAAGCGCACAACAUUGUCUCGCUAAGCGCAAUUCCUCCUCUGUCUGAACCUUCAUGUGAAUUGGGCCCAGCGGGUCAGCUCGCUAAGCCCAAAUCCCUCUCGGGUUUGGAACUGUGCUAAGCGAGACGGUCUCGCUAAGCAUGCCCCCACUACUGCAUCAGGAAGCAUUUAAUUCGCUAAGCGGGCACCGGUUCCGCUAAGCAAAAGUUGUAGACCAAUCAGAGCUAUAGAUCUCGCUAAGUGCGUACCCUUCGCGCUAAGCCCAAAUCCUUCUCGGGUUUUCUAAUUUUCGAAUUGGGCUAAGCGAGAUGUCACGCUAAGUGCGUGAAUUUAAAAUCUGAAAAUUCAAACGUCGUAGAGUGCUCGCGUAGCGAGUCACUCGCGCUAAGCGAGACAGUCGAAACUAUAAAAAAUAAACAUUACUACCUUAGGCAGUUUCUUUUGUGCACAAUUUAAAAAUAUCUCUCAUACUCAUCAUUGGCAUUCCUGCACUGCACUUCCCUUGCAACUUUGCUUCUUUGCUCAACACUCUCAUCAAUCCAAGUAAGUAUCCUGUACCUUGCUUUUUAAUUUUGGUUUUUGAACCUUAGGAUAGAAGCCAUGUUAGUUGCUCUUAAAGUUUUGAUUUUGUGAUUGAUGUUGUUGUCGUUUGCUUAGUUGUUAGAUUGUAUAAUGUUAGGGGUUUCAUUUCACACAUAAUGUAGGUUAUAUUGCUUUGAUUUGAUUAGGUUUUGAGGCCUAAUAGUGGCCUGUAGUUAGGGGCUGCAAAGCCCUAAAUUUUUUUGGAAUUUUCGAUGUACUCGCUAAGCGAGUUCAUCAAUUUUGGAUGAAUUUAUGGAUUUUUGGAUGAACUUGCUAAGCCGACCCUGUCCCGCUAAGCGUGUUCAUCGUUCUUGUUUGAAUGUUUGAAUGUCUAUAUGAACUCACUAAGCCACUGCACUUUGGCAUAGCGAGUGUUUAAAUUUCCAGAUUUUUGUUUGUGUUCGUAUGAACUCGCUAAGUCGGCGUUCCGCGCUUAGCGAGUUGUGUUGCUUAGGUUAGAGUCAACGAGGCUGUUGGUCUUCUGUUGGUGGCUAAGCGAGUCAGUCUCACUAAGCCACCAUGCCUUUGUAGCUUGAAUAAGCCUGGGCUAUGCGAGUCAGUAUCGUUAAGCCUAAGACAAUUUAGUUUCUGAGUUUUUGUUCAUGCGCUAAGCGAGUCAUUCUCGCAAAGCACAAUUUCUUAUUUGUUUUGGAAUUGGGAUUAGCGAGCCUGCUCGCUAAGCCAAUUAUGUUUCAGUGGUCAAGUUUGGAUAAGCACCUGUUGGCGAUAAGCCUGAAUAGUGUGUCGCGCUAUGCGAGUCAGUCUCGCUAAGAGUAAUUAGCUCUAUGUCAUGUUGGACAAGUGGCCUCAGAUAUCUUAAGAAGGGGGGUUGAAUUAAGAUAUUACAAACUAUUUCCCCAAUUAAAAAUUCUACUUUGAUUUUAAUGCAAGUUCAAAGUUCCCUUAAAGAUGAAUUUCUAAAUGAUGAUUCAAAUUAAACAAUCUGAAUGUAAAUGUUAAGCAACAAUAAAUAAAAGAGUUUAAGGGAAGAGAAAGUACAAACACAGUUUUUAUACUGGUUCGGCAAAGUCCGUUGCCUACGUCCAGUCCCCAAGAAACCCACUUGGGAGUUCCACUAUCUCGCAAAUCCUUUACAACUUCUGAAACACACAAGGACAACCCUUCCUUUGUGUUCAGAUGCUUUACAACAAGAGACUCUCAGUCUCUUAGCCCUUUGAUUAGAAAGAGAAGAGGAAGAAGAUAAUCUCUCUUGAAAGAGAUAGAUGUUUACAAUGAAGCAAUUAAUUCCUUAUUGAAUAACACAAGUGUUUGGCCAAGGAAUGUUGGAUGAUAAGAGAUUUUUGUUUGAGAGGAUUAUGCCUUUUGUGAACAGGGAAAACUAUUUAGAAAAUUCGUGCCCAAGUCACCUAUUUAUAGGCCUUUGAUGGCCAUUCAAAAAUCUAAUGAAAAGAUGUGACUGUUGGCAGAUUUUCUGAAAACUCUCUACUGGUAAUCGAUUACAACGUUUGUGUAAUCGAUUGCACAGUUAUUUUUCUUCAAAAGAUGUGACUCUUCAUUUAAAAAUAUUUGAAUUCUAACGUUCAAAGCUACUAGUAAUCGAUUACAUGUUUUGUGUAAUUGAUUACAAGGUUUUUCAAAAUAUUUUUUAACGUUAAAGCACUGGUAAUCGAUUACAACGUAAUGGUAAUCGAUUACACCUUUGAAAAACCAUUUUUAGAAAUAUUUGGGUUACUGGUAAUCGAUUACUACCUUCUGGUAAUCGAUUACCAGAGAGUAAAAUGCUUUGUAAAAUUGUUAAGAUAGAAACUCACUUGGCCAAUCAGUUGUGCUUUUCAAAAACUUUUCUAAGAGUUUAUCUUAAUUCUUAUCUUGAGAUCUUUGCUUUUGCUUGACAUCUUGCUUUCUUAAUCCUUGAAAUCCAUCUUGAAUGAUCUUUGAAAUUCCUUGGCAUCAUCAAAAUAAUUCUUGAAGCUUUGCUUUUACAUGUCAGAGAAUAAGGCUUAGCGUGCCAUGCUCGCUUAGCCAUGGUGCUAUUUCAACUAAGCGAGUGUGUCUCACUUAGUGAUGUGACAUUAUUUUCUCCUAUUUUUUAACCCUUUUUGCACCAUUUUAAGUACUGAUUAAUCUUAAUUGUCAAAUUAAUUAGGCAGUUUUAUUAUUUGGGCCCAUUCAGCUAAUUUUAUGUUUUUAAUCUAAUUUUAGGAAUUAAUGAAGCAUUGGGCUUAAAUCCAGAAUUGGGCUUGGGCUUGAAUCCAAAAUUGAGCUUGGACUUGAAGAGGGCAGACUAUUUUAUUCUACAAAAUUAGAUCUUAUCUUAUCUUAUCUUAUCUAGAUUUGAUUUGACUUUACUUAUGGGCUUGGAUUUAAAAUAGAUUUGUAAGCUUUGGGGCUGGAAAACUAUAUAACAGCACCAAGGUUCUAGUUUAGCCCUCUCUCUUCUCUUUCUCCUUUUUUCGUUUUUGGAAAUUCCAGUUCUGACUUUUAGUUUCAUUAACAAAUUUCGUUCUUCAAUCUAUAAUUUCGUUCUCUAUUGAUUAAUGGAAGGCUAAGUCCCCAGCGUUGUUUUCUCUUGAGGAUCAAGCACAGUUCUCUUUGAGGUUCUAUUAUUACUGUUAAAUUCUGUUCAGUUUUUCCUCUUCACUAAUUAUUCUGAAUUUGUUGCUAUUAAUUCAUGCAUGCUUAGUGCUUGAUUAAUUGUCUCUGCGCUUAAUUUACAUUCUUGCUUAAUGAUUGUUUAUGAGUAAUUGGUGUAUGUGUUGCUUAAUCACAUAAUGAAUGCCUUAUGUUAAAUUUCGCUUAGUAAUUUAAUUUAGGGUUGGAUUAAGUGGUUAAACUGAUAAAGGAUAAAUUCUCGCAACUUAGGAUAAGAGACUUGCUUGUGAAUCAAGGGGAAGCAACGUAUUUUAAUUAUGAUAUUUUCUAAUUCAAUUUUACUCGUUGUUUAAUUUACAAAAGCAAACACCCCCCCCCCCCCAAUUUGCUACUAUUUCCUACUAUCUAUUAUGAACAUUUGGUUUAUCAUUGCUCAUCGGGAAACGACCUAGGAUCACUUCCUAGUUACUACAUUUUAAUGUUUAUUUGAUUCGGGUACAGCCUCGAUCACUUAGCCAGAGUCUUUGUUUUUGUGUUGUUGCGCUAAGCGUGCCCUGCGCACUAAACGUGCGUUGUUAUUUUCAUAAGACGCGCUAAGCGAGUCAGUCUCGUUAAACGCCCAGUCUGUUUUUCUAUUUUCAGAUAAAACCUGUCUAAUUCAAUUCCUGUGAUUCUUUUUUAUGCAGAUGGCCUCCAGGAAGAGAAAAACUACCGCCUCCAGACCCAGAGAGCCCUAUGACACUACCAGAUUCAUAUCUAAGGGUGCCUGGGAAAGAUAUGAUUAGAACAUUCACUCCUAGAACAUUCUUCUGGAGAGAAAUGUUAUUCUUUACAUCACAGAGUACGAUGAGUUCCGCAGGGAACUUGAGAGGCGGAACUGGCAUAAAUCCUUGACCAGGCAAAUGGAUGGGCACAUAGAUGUGGCCCUGGUCAAGGAAUUUUAUGCAAACCUGUAUGAUCCUGAAGACAAAUCUCCCAGGCAAGUCCGAGUGCGGGGGAAGCUGAUUAAAUUUGAUGUCGCCUCUCUUAAUGCUUUUCUAGAGACACCACCAGUUCUGGAGCCAGGGGAGCAGUAUAUUGCAUAUACCAAGUUCUGCAGCACUCGCAUAGAACCUCAGGAGAUGGCUGCCAAACUCUACAUCCCAAGGAAGGGAUUUGUAUUUAAUGCAGAGGGCGUACCUUGGAAGCUCCUGGGGAAGGAUUUGACUACACUGGCGCAGACCUGGAGCAUCCUGUCAUAUUCUAACCUCGCCCCCACCUCUCAUAUGUCCAAUUUGAAUAUGGACAGGGCAAGGUUAGUUUAUGGACUUGUUAUGAGGAUGGACAUGGACGUGGGCUCACUCAUAUCAGGCCAGAUCUCACAGAUGGCUCAGUCCAACUCCUCCAAGCUCGGAUUCCCUGCACUUAUCACAGCCUUGUGCGUGGCCCGAGGAGUAGUUCCAGACUCAUUGACCUUCGAGUCCAUGAGAUCUGCCAUUAAUUUGGCAUACAUUAGGAAUAAUUGCUGGAACCCGGAUAAUCCCAUGAUCACUUUUUUGGGGACCCGCAAAGCUAGGGCUUGGGGACCAUCAGACGCUUCUGCUCCUCCAGCUCUAGCCCCGUCUUCUUCUGCUCCACCAGUACCAGCUCCUUUCAUUCCAGCUCCUCCACUUCUUGUAUCAGCUUCAGGACCCUCCGGCACCUCCAUACAGAGCUCAGACAUUCUAGUGCCGAUGCUGUAGAGCCUCCACCAUGGCUUAUGCCUGGUGAUGCAGAGUAUCCAUGAUUUGGCUCAACAUUGACCCAUCAUGAGCAUGGAGGCAUUUAUGGCCCAGGUGGUCUGGCCAGGAGUCCAGCCUUCUCCUCUAGGGGGAGGUGAGGCUCCUAUAGCCCAGGAGCCACAACCAGAGGCAUAACCUACACCAGAGGUCACACCAGAGGCCACUUCAUAGACUUCACCUGUUGCUACACCAUUAGUGGAGGCCUCAGAGGAUGAGGAUGGCGCCAAGGACACUUAUUAUGCAGCUGAUUUAGCAGCGGCACAGAGCACCUGGGAUCCCUGACCCAUUACAGCAUAGGAGACACCUCAGCUAGCCCAGGAUGCCCCUUCUUCACCUCAGGAUAAGCCCACACCAACGUAGGAUGAGUGAUGACAGGACUAUGAUUUAUUUUUCUGCUUUUUAGAUACAGUUUUCUAUGUUUCAAUUUAGUUUAGUAUUUACUUUUUCAGAAAAUUUUACAGCUUUUUGAAUAGUUUACAUUUAUAUAUGCAGUGGUUUGUUUUGGUUUGAAAAAUUUUGUGUUUCUGAAUGAAUUUGGAUUGAUCAAUGGCAUGAAUUGAGUGAAUUACGAUGAUUAGAUCGCGUGCUUUGAAUGAAUAUGCAAUAAUUAGAAGAGAAAGAACAUGAAUUAGGGACGUGAGUGAAAAUGUUAGUUGGUUUGAUAGGUAAAUUGUGAACCUUAAUUGUGAGAGAACGAAUAGCAUUGGGUAUCGAUUUUUGCAUGAAUCUCUGAAUACUGAAUGAAUGCAUGAUUUUGGAAAUGAUGAAGGCCAUGAUUGAUUGAAAUAGACACUUAGCCAAAUAGCUUACCUUGUUCAUGAAUGAGUUAUCCCAUUGCACCCAUUUUGAGCUUGAAUAUGUUUGAUUGAGUUGAACCUUAAGCCUGUUGAAUUGUAAUCUCCAUCUACCUUUUCUUAGGUUGUAGGAGAGCAUCAUGGUUCAAAGCAAAUUUGUCCAAAUUUGGAGGAGGAUGUUGGGUGACAGUAAUUGUGGUAAGACAAAUAACAGCCACACAAAAAUAUCAAAAAGCAAUAAGUAAACUGCUAAAAUAAAAAAAAUAAAAAAGAAAUUUUAAGAAUAAAAGUAUGUGUGUGUUGUUACUCAAGCUAAGUGCCUUACAUGUAUGUGGCAAGUCAAUAGAAGCUGGGAAUAAAAAGAAAAAGAGUUGAUCUAAGGAUGAAUGCUCUCCAAGAACCUAAGCUUUUGCAUCCUAGAAAAACCAUGAAUUGUUUGCAGCCCAGCCUCAUUACAAGCCAAGAAAGUCCUUCGGAUUCAAUUUAUGUGUUUCUGAUUGUAUGUCAUGAGAUGAAAUGCAAAAGUUGAGACUUGUGUUGGUUGUUGACUGAAGAAUUGCCUUAAACACUUGGGCUUAUGAGUGAAACAGUGACCGUGAGGAUUUGGGUUGAUGAACCUUCCUUGAUACCUGUUUUGUUUGCUAGCUUAUUUCAUUUGUGUUGCUUAAUAACCAUGUUCAUAUCUUUGAAAUUCUGCAUAUUUUUAUGAAAAGUUGUUGGUUGAAAGAAUUGCUUGCCACUUAUGUUCAUGUGAUUGAAUGCUUUGAAACAAACACAAUUUUGAAUAACCACUGUGAGUUUUUCACUUGAGAACAAGUAAAUUGUUCUUUCUUUGCUUGAGGACAAGCAAAACUAUAAAUUUGGGAGAGUUUGUUAGUCGUCAUUUAUGACUAACUUUUGUAUUGAAAAGUUUCAUGAAUUUUAUAUCUUUUCCCCCAAUUUAUGGUUCUUUUUGUAGGUUUGUACAUAUUUUUAUGUUUAGUUUAAUUUUACUCAGUAGAUAUUCCCAAUAUUGGGAAUUAAUGUGGUUCAACUUCAGUUUCAAGCUAAAGGAUGAAGAAGAAGAAGGUUGUAGCAGCUGGUGUGUCGCUAAGUGAGGCUUAUGCGCUUAGCGAGUAACAUCCACUAAGCGAAGCUCUCAGCUCGCUUAGCGAGUUGGGAGAAUCUAGAAGAGGAUCUGCCAUUCAUGCACGCGCCCAGCACGCCAUCAGCUCACUCAAUGAGUCAUUUGUCUCUUCUCGCGCUCAGCGCGCCCAGCUCGCUAAGCAAAAAUUCACUAACUCGCACUUAGCCGGAAAAUGGCGCUAAGCGAGCCUUCAGGAUCAAAAAACCCUUAAAAGACUGAAGUUGGCGAAAAAUAAAAAGUUCGGAGAGAGUUCUAUUGGAAGAGAGACAUAAUAGAGCAAGAGAGAAAAACUUGAACGAAAUGCCUCAGCUUUCAAGAGGAUUCUAGGUUUAUGAGUGAUUAUUAGGUUUUAGAGAUGGAGGAUACAUCCCCACCACUUUGUAAUCUUAAUUUUCCCUCAAAAACCUCAUCUUGGUGCUAAAAGGUGCUAACUUGCAAUGGAAGGCUAAAUCUCUUGUUGGGGAUUUCUGUUGAGCUUUGAUGUAAAACUCUUCACUAUCUAUUUAAAGUUGUUUUAUUGUGUUCAUUGCUUAUAUAUGUAUUUAAUUCUUGCAUGCUUGUGGCUUGAUCACCCAUUUGUGUGUAAAGUUAGGAUUUUUAGCAUUGGGAAGUGCUUUAAAUCCUUAGAACUUGAUAGAGUAGGCUAGAGAACUGUAUGUCUGGACACGGAGUGCAGGGAUUUAGUUUAUAAAAUGUUGUAAUCUUAAUGUAAUUUGUUUAGGCUAAGUUCGACGAGGAAUCUAGAACGAAGUUUAAAUAGAAUUAGACUCAUUCACUAGAGUGAUCUUGUUUUAAGUAGUCGUUUUCAACAUAGAACACAUAAACAACCUUAAAUAGAGAAAAACACUUAAUUACAUCAUAUUGUUCAGUAGAAAGACCCAACGUUUUUAUCAUUUGUUUAUCUCUCAUAUUUAGAUAGUUAAUUUUGUAGUUAAAUUAGAACUGUAAACAUAACUUCUCUUUAUAUUUACUGGCUUUAUACAAAUGUUUACCUACUGAAUGAAUGCUCUCUGAAUGAAACAAGUUCCCUGUGAUUUGAUACUCGGUUCUUAUCAUUUUAUAUUACUUGUGCGAGUCGGUGCACUUGCCAAUUAGCAUCGCUGACCAGUGGAACAAGUUUUCAGCUAACAACGAGCUCAUUUCGCUAAGCGGGAAUCCACUUUUGGCGCUAAGGGCGACUUUUUGCGCUGAGCGCAAUUCCUCUCGGAUUUGGAUUUUCCUGAGUGUGACAUUUCACUCUGAGCGUAAUUCCUCUUGCGCUAAGUGCAACAUUUUGCGUUGAGCGCAAUUCCUCUCGGGUUAGAAUUGCGCUCAGUGUACUUCUUGCGCAAGGCGAUAUGUAAAAAUUGUUAUUUGGUAAAUCCCAACUGUCAAAACAUGAAGAUAUGGUUUAAA
rnacentral:lncRNA from 1 species